rnacentral:rRNA from 1 species
CCUACGGGCGGCAGCAGCAAGGAAUUUUGUGCAAUGGGCGAAAGCCUGACACAGCAACGCCGCGUGAGGGAUGAAGGCCUUCGGGUUGUAAACUCCUUUUGCAGGGGAAGAUAAUGACGGUACCCUGCGAAUAAGCCACGGCUAACUACGUGCCAGCAGCCGCGGUAAUACGUAGGUGGCAAGCGUUGUCCGGAAUUACUGGGCGUAAAGGGCGCGUAGGCGGCGUGAUAAGUCCGGUGUGGAAUCUCGGGGCCCAACCCCGAAAUUGCACCGGAAACUGUUGUGCUUGAGUCAGCGAGGGGAGGGCGGAAUUCCCGGUGUAGUGGUGAAAUGCGUAGAUAUCGGGAGGAAGACCAGUGGCGAAGGCGGCUCUCUGGCGCUUGACUGACGCUGAGGCGCGAAAGCGUGGGGAGCAAACAGGAUUAGAUACCCGUGUAGUC